GCCCGGUUCUCAUAUGUGUUUGAGUCGAGGUGGAAGGACAAUGAUGUUAUAUGACGCUUUAUUAACCUAGAACACCGACCCGUGUCCGUGUUACGGUGGCGUCUCUGUCUCCCAUUCGCCUGCUCCUUCCGUCAGGUUCCAAGGUUUCUCUGUCCUUGAUGGUCCGAUAAUUAUUAUUUUGCAGAUCCUGACUAGGAGAUCAUCUAAAGGUACCACUGUCUUUUCCUUUUUCGUAUUGCUGUUCUUCAUUGCAACUCUGUUUUGCUUAGGAGUAUUUUUUUUGUCUCUGGUCCAAAAGGGGCAAGUGGCAGAGUUCCAAUCUUAUGAGAUGGAGCGGAUGCAUAUCAAAGAGAAGAUUGUCCAAUCCAGAUUUGCUUCCUUCGCUAACUGCAGAUAUGUAAAUCUUACCAAUUAGUUGAAAUUCACAUGGAUGUGCAGAUUGAUUUUAUCAGGAUGUUCGAAUGCAUUAUUUCUUCAACUUUGUGGUUUAAAAUUAUUUUUCACAUACAUGAUGUAGGCAACUUUGAAUCUUGGAGCCUUAGCAAGGGCACAUGCAAGUUACUGUUUCCAAUGGUUACGAGCAUCUCCUAUUUGCAAGACGAUGACAAGCAUGUUUCUGAAGAUGUGAAUAUCAGGGAUCUAGAUAUGACAAGCUGCGAGGCAAAUGGUCUUCAGCUUUACCGACCUCCACAAAGGCUGAACCAUGUUUAUCUGCUAGAGAUGGGAAAUUGGACAUUCUGAAUUCUUUUUUAUGCCCGGGGCAUUCAUGUAAGAAAUAUGUUUUGAAGUAUGUAGCCUAUGUUUUUCUUUGAUAUUCGUAAAUAACACCGAAGUUUUUUACUUGCACAAAGUGUUUAUCCAUGAUAAGUGCUAACAAUGAUGGUAAGCUGCACUUGAAAACAGAAGCUUCACGGGUGGCACAAAGGGCAGCUGAAGCUUUACUUCAAUCAUGAUUUUUUUCCUUCAUGUUUUGGUCUGAAAUUUUCAUUCUGCAUUUCCCUUUGUACGUAUAUACUGCCAUGGAAAUUUUGAAGUAAAUACGAUGUAGAAGCAUAACUUAGAUUGAACUAUUGGGUAGUCUAACUGAAUUGGUAGAGUUGUAGGACAAAGCAUACUAGGUGUAUUUCUAUGGUAUAAGCAGCUGAAGGUGAGCAUACAUGCUUCGACAGUUUUUUUGUACAGAAAAAGCUAUUGGUGGGGGAGGGGGGGGG
rnacentral:lncRNA from 1 species